rnacentral:rRNA from 1 species
GUGAGUCAUCGAAUCUUUGAACGCAUCUUGCGCUCCUUGGUAUUCCGAGGAGCAUGCCUGUUUUGAGUGUCAUUAAUAUAUCAACCCUCUUUUGCUUUUUUUGCAUGUCGAGUGUUGGAUGUGGGGGUUUUUGCUGGACUCUCUCCUUGAGGUCAGCUCUCCUAAAAUACAUUAGCAAAACAAUUUUGUUUACUGCUCAUUGGUGUGAUAACUAUCUACGCUAUUGGCGGUAUAAAGCACAGUUUUAGCUUCUAACAGUCCAUUGACUUGGACAAUCUUUUUAUCAAUGUGACCUCAAAUUCAGUAGGAUUACCCGCUGAACUUAAGCAUAUCAAUAAGCGGAGG